GAUGAACGCUGGCGGCGUGCCUAAUACAUGCAAGUCGAGCGAACAGACGAGGAGCUUGCUCCUCUGACGUUAGCGGCGGACGGGUGAGUAACACGUGGAUAACCUACCUAUAAGACUGGGAUAACUUCGGGAAACCGGAGCUAAUACCGGAUAAUAUAUUGAACCGCAUGGUUCAAUAGUGAAAGACGGUUUUGCUGUCACUUAUAGAUGGAUCCGCGCCGCAUUAGCUAGUUGGUAAGGUAACGGCUUACCAAGGCAACGAUGCGUAGCCGACCUGAGAGGGGGAUCGGCCACACUGGAACUGAGACACGGUCCAGACUCCUACGGGAGGCAGCAGUAGGGAAUCUUCCGCAAUGGGCGAAAGCCUGACGGAGCAACGCCGCGUGAGUGAUGAAGGUCUUCGGAUCGUAAAACUAUGUUAUUAGGGAAGAACAAAUGUGUAAGUAACUAUGCACGUCUUGACGGUACCGAAGCAGAAAGCCACGGCUAACUACGU
rnacentral:rRNA from 1 species